rnacentral:rRNA from 1 species
GAUGAACGCUAGCGGCAGGCUUAACACAUGCAAGUCGAGCGGAAACGACAUUAUUGAAUCUUCGGAGGAUUUAAUGGGCGUCGAGCGGCGGACGGGUGAGUAGUGCCUAGGAAAUUGCCUUGAUGUGGGGGAUAACCAUUGGGAAACGAUGGCUAAAUACCGCAUAAUGCCUACGGGCCAAAGAGGGGGAUCUUCGGGACCUCUCGCGUCAAGAUAUGCCUAGGUGGGAUUAGCUAGUUGGUGAGGUAAUGGCUUACCAAGGCGACGAUCCCUAGCUGGUCUGAGAGGAUGAUCAGCCACACUGGAACUGAGACACGGUCCAG